UUUUUUAAUCUAAAGAAAUUCAAAUAAGCAAAAGUAAAUAAAGGGCUCAAAUUCUCUAUAGUUCUUCGUAAAUAUAUAACAUCUUCUUGUGAGAUUUUCGAUCAAAAUUGACUGUCGGAAAAUUGAAAUCAGAAAGAUUUCUAGCUUAGAUGUAGAUAUAUUUUAUUCUUUUGUGAUGCUUAUUUUUUGAAGAGAAGAAUUGCUAGGCAAUGAUAGAAAUUUAAAUAUUACCUACUAAUACAUAUUAACAUUGUAUACACUAAACUUUUACAAAUUACGAAGUUCUAGUGAGAAAUAAUGGUUGGAAACUAUUUCAACAAGCAGACUAACAAUGGGUAUGGAACUAGAAUGGGGAGUCGAUACUAAGUAGGGUGGAGGCUGGGGAAGUCUUUGGGUUUUGCGGAACUCACCCGGGUAUCAGUACUUUUGCAAGUAUUGAUACUGAUAUUGCGGGUACCAAUAUACUAUAGAAACUGCAAAAAAUAGUAUUCGGAUUCUGCAAAACUAGAGUGGAGUACCAGUACACUUGAGCUGCAUAUUGGUACUGGAGUCUGAGUACCGAUCGAUACUCAACUCCGCGAAUAACAAUUUUAGAAGUGUUGCAUAUGUGAAUAUUUGGAGGUUUAGGUGUCAUUGUUACACCUCUAUGUAACCCAUUUCAAUAUCCAAAACUCUAAAAAAAUCCUGUUUCUCCUCCUGCCUCAUGCUGCUCUCCUCUUUCUCUCUAGAAACAAAGAGAAAAACCUAAAUCCCAUUAUUGGAGAGAUCCAUCUCUUGGGGAGGUUUUGGAAAGAUCGAAGUGCUUGGAGAAAGCUUUAGGAGGAAGAAGACAAUGCUCUCCACCAAUAUUUCCAUAAAAGAAGAAAGAGAGAGGAGAGUUGUAGGGGGGGGGGGGGGGGGGGGGGGGGGNAACUUGGUUAAAACCAUUUCUUAGGGUCUUCUUAGUGUUCUAGGAGAUCAAGAGGCAUCUUUCCUGGAAGGAUCAAGUAAAGACGGAGAAUAUCACCGAAAAAAGUUUUGAUCUCCCGUUUACCUAAACAUUUACUUGAUUUCAUGCAUGUUUAAUAUGUGAUAUGCAAACUAAAAGUAUUGUAGUUGCAUGCAAGUGGAACUUGUUGGUCAAGAUGGCUUGUUACCAUUUGAUUUAGGAAAAUAGGGUUUUAACCCUUGUGUGUAUAAAGGAAAAUGGACGAAGGACAUGCAUAUAAGUAAAUGAGAAUCUUGAAAUAUAUGUAAAAAUAAACGGGGCAUCAAACUUAGAUCAAACCUAAGGUUGAACAUAGUGAUAUGUGAAUUCUAGGCUAAAUACGAACUAGAUAACAAGUGUAAAUGUAAUGGAUAUUGUAGUUAACCCUAUUGUAGUACACUGAAUUUUUUAAUAUUUAAGCAAGUAUAAAUAAAAAUAGUGCGAGAUACUAUUUUUAUUGCACUCAGAGAAGUAAAAGAUAAUUCUAAAAUGAUUUGUGAUGAGAUUGAAUAAAAAAAAGGAGAUUUGAAAUUUUCUAUAAGAUACAGGGCUUAUAUUUCAGAUGAAAAUUCACAGUGGUGAAAAAUUAUAAAACUUUCAAAAGUUAUUUGUACUAAUUUUCUGAGGCCAUAUUUAAAGUUGUGUAUAUUUCAAAUACUUAAAUAGUGAAAAGGAUCGAUUGAGCCUAACAGCAUCCAUUUAAAUUUUCUAAUUAGCAAAGUUUCAGUGAUUCAAAGUGAUUCAAAAUUGAAAAGUUAAGGUAAAUUGCUAUUGAUUAAUUUUAAUUGAGUUUGCCUGUUAAAUUUUAGCUUAAACCAACAUUCAAAAAGGCUUUAAUUGAACAUAUCAUAUCAGAAUUGGACUAAAAUUAUAAUAUUUAUUACUCGAGGACUUAUUGGCAUUUUGUAGCACAUUAGUGGAAUUCGACUAAUGCAUCUAGGAGCUCUCUUGUAGCUCCUAUCUCCUCCAACCUACAUGCAAGAGAAAGAAAGGGAAAAAAAAGAAAGAAGAAAAAAAACGAGUUUGGAGGUUUUUAAUCGAUUUGACGAGCUGGCUGAACACGCGCGUAAGUAGAAAUUCUUUUGCAUUUCGAUUAGAAGAUUAGUAUUUUGAUGUAGCAUAUUGUUGAAUUCGAUUUAUGGGCUUUUCCUUCACAGCUAAUGAUACGGAGAGAAGUUUGGCAGAUUUUUGUAAAAAUUGAAAUUUUGAAGUGAUUUU
rnacentral:lncRNA from 1 species